rnacentral:rRNA from 1 species
GUCCGACGUGAAAGGGAAGCAAUACCCCGGUAGGGUGGCAAACGGGUGAGUAAGACAUGGGUGAUCUGUCCUGGAGAUGGGGAUAUCCCUCCGAAAGGGGGGGCAAUACCGAAUAGUAUCCGGUUCCGUGAAGGGGGCCGGGGAAAGGGAGGCCUCUGGUACAAGCUUCCGCUCCUGGAUGAGCCCGUGGCCCAUCAGCUAGUUGGUAGGGUAAAGGCCUACCAAGGCGACGACGGGUAGCUGGUCUGAGAGGACAACCAGCCACACUGGCACUGAGACACGGGCCAGACUCCUACGGGAGGCAGCAGUGAGGAAUAUUGCGCAAUGGGGGCAACCCUGACGCAGCAACGCCGCGUGUGGGAAGAAGGCUUUCGGGUUGUAACCCACUUUGGCCCGGGACAA